GGGUUGUGAGGUUAAGCGACCAAGCGUACACGGUGGAUGCCCUGGCAGUCAGAGGCGAUGAAGGACGUGCUAAUCUGCGAAAAGCGCCGGCAAGGUGAUAUGAACCGCUACAGCCGGCGAUGUCCGAAUGGGGAAACCCGGUGCACCCAGUGCAUCAUCGCAGCAUGAAUACAUAGUGCUGCGAGGCGAACCGGGGGAACUGAAACAUCUAAGUACCCCGAGGAAAAGAAAUCAACCGAGAUUCCCCCAGUAGCGGCGAGCGAACGGGGAGCAGCCCAGAGCCUGAAUCAGCUUGUGCGUUAGUGGAAGCGUCUGGAAAGGCGCGCGAUACCGGGUGACAGCCCCGUACACGAAAACGCACUUGCUGUGAGCUCGAAGAGUAGGGCGGGACACGUGGUAUCCUGUCUGAAUAUGGGGGGACCAUCCUCCAAGGCUAAAUACUCCUGACUGACCGAUAGUGAACCAGUACCGUGAGGGAAAGGCGAAAAGAACCCCGGCGAGGGGAGUGAAACAGAACCUGAAACCGUGUACGUACAAGCAGUGGGAGCCUUCUUUAUGGGGGUGACUGCGUACCUUUUGUAUAAUGGGUCAGCGACUUAUAUUCUGUAGCAAGGUUAACCGCAUAGGGGAGCCGAAGGGAAACCGAGUCUUAAUUGGGCGCUAAGUUGCAGGGUAUAGACCCGAAACCCGGUGAUCUAGCCAUGGGCAGGUUGAAGGUUGGGUAACACUAACUGGAGGACCGAACCGACUAAUGUUGAAAAAUUAGCGGAUGACCUGUGGCUGGGGGUGAAAGGCCAAUCAAACCGGGAGAUAGCUGGUUCUCCCCGAAAGCUAUUUAGGUAGCGCCUCGUGAACUCAUCUCCGGGGGUAGAGCACUGUUUCGGCUAGGGGGCCAUCCCGGCUUACCAACCCGAUGCAAACUGCGAAUACCGGAGAAUGUUAUCACGGGAGACACACGGCGGGUGCUAACGUCCGUCGUGAAGAGGGAAACAACCCAGACCGCCAGCUAAGGUCCCAAAGUCAUGGUUAAGUGGGAAACGAUGUGGGAAGGCACAGACAGCCAGGAUGUUGGCUUAGAAGCAGCCAUCAUUUAAAGAAAGCGUAAUAGCUCACUGGUCGAGUCGGCCUGCGCGGAAGAUGUAACGGGGCUAAACCAUGCACCGAAGCUGCGGCAGCGAACGCGAGUUUGCUGGGUAGGGGAGCGUUCUGUAAGCCGCAGAAGGCGUGCUGUGAGGCAUGCUGGAGGUAUCAGAAGUGCGAAUGCUGACAUAAGUAACGAUAAAGCGGGUGAAAAGCCCGCUCGCCGGAAGACCAAGGGUUCCUGUCCAACGUUAAUCGGGGCAGGGUGAGUCGACCCCUAAGGCGAGGCCGAAAGGCGUAGUCGAUGGGAAGCAGGUUAAUAUUCCUGCACUUGGUGUUGCUGCGAAGGGGGGACGGAGAAGGCUA
rnacentral:rRNA from 1 species